rnacentral:rRNA from 1 species
GACGAACGCUGGCGGCGUGCUUAACACAUGCAAGUCGAACGGAAAGGCCCUGCUCUUGUUGGUUGCUCGAGUGGCGAGCGGGUGAGUAACACGUGUGUAACCUGCCCUUGACUUUGGGAUAACUUCAGGAAACUGCGGCGAAUACCGGAGAGGAUCUCCUGCUGCAUGUGGGGGGUUGGAAAGUGUCGGCGGUUGGGGAUGGACUCGCGGCUUAUGAGCUUGUUGGUGGGGUAGUGGCUUACCAAGGCUAUGACGGGUAGCCGGCAUGAGAGGGUGACCGGCGACAAUGGGCCUGAGAGACGGCGCAGACUCCUACGGGAGGCAGCAGUGGGGAAUAUUGCACAAUGGGCGGAAGCCUGAUGCAGCAACGCCGCGUGCGGGAUGACGGCCUUCGGGUUGUAAACCGCUUUCGCCUGUGACGAAGCGUGAGUGACGGUAAUGGGUAAAGAAGCACCGGCUAACUACGUG